rnacentral:rRNA from 1 species
AAGGCCCUUCGGGGUACACGAGCGGCGAACGGGUGAGUAACACGUGAGCAAUCUGCCCUUCACUCUGGGAUAACCCCCGGAAACGGGAGCUAAUACCGGAUAUGACCACUUCACGCAUGUGAUGGUGGUGGAAAGUUCUGGCGGUGGAGGAUGAGCUCGCGGCCUAUCAGCUUGUUGGUGGGGUAAUGGCCCACCAAGGCUUCGACGGGUAGCCGGCCUGAGAGGGUGACCGGCCACACUGGGACUGAGACACGGCCCAGACUCCUACGGGAGGCAGCAGUGGGGAAUAUUGGACAAUGGGCGAAAGCCUGAUCCAGCAACGCCGCGUGAGGGAUGACGGCCUUCGGGUUGUAAACCUCUUUCAGCGCAGACGAAGCGAAAGUGACGGUAUGCGCAGAAGAAGCACCGGCCAACUACGUGCCAGCAGCCGCGGUAAUACGUAGGGUGCGAGCGUUGUCCGGAAUUAUUGGGCGUAAAGGGCUCGUAGGCGGUCUGUCGCGUCAGGAGUGAAAACUCGGGGCUCAACCCCGAGCCUGCUUCUGAUACGGGCUGACUAGAGGUAUGCAGGGGAGAACGGAAUUCCUGGUGUAGCGGUGAAAUGCGCAGAUAUCAGGAGGAACACCGGUGGCGAAGGCGGUUCUCUGGGCAUUACCUGACGCUGAGGAGCGAAAGUGUGGGGAGCGAACAGGAUUAGAUACCCUGGUAGUCCACACCGUAAACGUUGGGCGCUAGGUGUGGGGCUCAUUCCACGAGUUCCGUGCCGCAGCUAA